CACGUAGGGCGCAAGCGUUGUCCGGAAUUAUUGGGCGUAAAGAGCUCGUAGGCGGUCUGUUGCGUCCGCUGUGAAAACUCGGGGCUUAACCCCGAGCCUGCAGUGGAUACGGGCAGACUAGAGGUAGGUAGGGGAGAAUGGAAUUCCCGGUGUAGCGGUGAAAUGCGUAGAUAUCAGGAGGAACACCGGUGGCGAAGGCGGCUACCUGGACAGAGUCUGACGCUGAGGCACGAAAGCUAGGGGAGCAAACAGG
rnacentral:rRNA from 1 species